rnacentral:snoRNA from 1 species
AGGCACUGCACUUUCAACCUGAAUGUCCUUCACUGUGGUCAUUCACAAAGGUCAAAAGUAGUGCAAGAGCAUGUCUUGUCAUAACUGGAGUUUCUUGGCAAUUUUCCCAAGUCUCUCUUUUAAAGCAAGAAACAAUA